GAUGAACGCUGGCGGCGUGCCUAAUACAUGCAAGUCGAGCGAACGGACGAGAAGCUUGCUUCUCUGAUGUUAGCGGCGGACGGGUGAGUAACACGUGGAUAACCUACCUAUAAGACUGGGAUAACUUCGGGAAACCGGAGCUAAUCCCGGAUAAUAUUUUGAACCGCAUGGUUCAAAAGUGAAAGACGGUCUUGCUGUCACUUAUAGAUGCAUCCGGGCUGCAUUAGCGAGUUGGUAAGGUAACGGCUUACCAAGGCAACGAUGCAUAGCCGACCUGGGAGGGGGAUCGGCCACACUGGAACUGGACCACGGUCCAGGGUCCUACGGGAGGCAGCAGUAGGGAACCUUCCGCAAUGGGCGAAAGCCUGACGGAGCAACGCGGCGUGAGUGAUGAAGGUCUUCGGAUCGUAAAACUCUGUUAUUAGGGAAAAACAUAUGUGUAAGUAACUGUGCACAUCUUGACGGUACCUAAUCAGAAAGCCACGGCUAACUACGUG
rnacentral:rRNA from 1 species